rnacentral:rRNA from 1 species
GCAAGUCGAACGGUAGCACAGAGAGCUUGCUCUCGGGUGACGAGUGGCGGACGGGUGAGUAAUGUCUGGGAAACUGCCUGAUGGAGGGGGAUAACUACUGGAAACGGUAGCUAAUACCGCAUAACGUCGCAAGACCAAAGAGGGGGACCUUCGGGCCUCUUGCCAUCAGAUGUGCCCAGAUGGGAUUAGCUAGUAGGUGGGGUAACGGCUCACCUAGGCGACGAUCCCUAGCUGGUCUGAGAGGAUGACCAGCCACACUGGAACUGAGACACGGUCCAGACUCCUACGGGAGGCAGCAGUGGGGAAUAUUGCACAAUGGGCGCAAGCCUGAUGCAGCCAUGCCGCGUGUAUGAAGAAGGCCUUCGGGUUGUAAAG